GUUUUCCUCCUAGCAAACAAUAUGCAGUGGCAAAGGGAGGGGUACAGGCACCAAAACAUUCCUGAAUUCAGGCCAAACAUGGCAAACGUUUCCAGAGAUAAAGAAAAUAGAGGGUGUAUUUUAAUAAAAGAGAUAUUUUGUGCGGACAUUUCAAAGAAAAGACACUCCUACUUCCCACUUCAAGGCUGCAUUUGCUUUUCAAAUUGACAUCAGUCCAAAUGAGAAAAAGGUUUAGAAAACCCAGGGAUGAUCCCCAAUGCUUGGCUUCUCCUGGAUGAAACCUACUUGAGCUUGCCACACACCCUUUGAGCAGGUCAGGCCAGGCUGCCCAUCAGUGGGCCAGGCUCCAAGCAAGACCACAGAUAAAAAAAACCCUAAUUUUCAAGUUAUUUCCACACUGUGCUGCUGAGAAGAGGAAUGGAGCUGUGCCUUUGUCCCCUCUCUGUACACAGCAUGGCCAUGCCAUGCUCCAGCCCCUCCAUCCACAGCAUGGGCAUGCGGAGCCUCAGUCACCACUUUAUUGAAAGAACUUGGCAUCUGCAUCCUUCUAUCACUAGCAAACCCCUCGAUUCCUAAUUAAGCUCUCAUUAAGAACCAUACCUGCAGUGGCUGGAUGCCAGCACAGUGCAACUGGCAGGAGCUUUUAAUCCUUCCCCAGCUUCACCGUAUAGGCAGAAGACAGAACUGAGCAAUGCCAGAAUUUCUGUUCUGUGCAAUAGUUAAACACAAUUUUGAGACACACUUUCCAUCCAACUCAGGGAUAAGUCACGACCCAGAAAUUCCCCCAAACACGAACAAGAAAAUUUCUCUCAGAGCUGCCCAGCUGCUUCCACAUAGGAGACCUAGAGUGUAAAGAGGUGGUAAAACAUGAGCCCGUCAGGAUUCCCACCCAUUUUCAUUUUCCACAUGUUCCUGUUCAUACUCUCAGGAUAACGAAUCUGACUCUGCUAAACAGCCUGUCUCUGACAAAUCUGACUUUUUCCAGUGGAAACCAAUUCCGCCAGAAAAUGUGGAAGGUGAGCUGCAAGCUGUGAGGUGCAGCCAUAUCCCUGCCCACCUGCUCCUGGAGAUCACACCUGAGCACGACAGGACAAUCCAAAUCCUGUCCCGAGCUGAGCACAGGACAGUUUUCAUACCUGAGGAUGGCUGCACAGACAGUGAGUUAAACUCAUCAAGGCUUCCUGGCUCAGAAGUGAAUGUGGAGCAACUUCUGCCUUGAGAGAGGGUCAGGAGGGGUUACCUUUAGACAGCAGCAUCGCUCCUCUUCCCUGCUACCCCAGUGAUCUGAGUAGAUCUCUUCUUUUGUUGUUGCAGCUUUUCUUUUUGUGUCCUCAGCUAAAGGGAAUUAACUUCUACUGGGAGCAGCCAAUGAGGCCUGUAUUGAUAAUUAGGCGUUCAGAGGCUUCAUGCUACUGUUUCCCCACAGCUCAGCCAACAAGGAUGAGAAGUGCCCAAGAAGUGCUGACUUUCCUGCCAUGCACGGAGGCAGCCAAGUCCCAUAUCCAAGAAGAAGAAUACUAUGGUGGAGGUAAAGGGAAAGCAACCAGAGCAGUGUGUGAGCCAGGCACAUAGAGCUAUAUUUGGGGUGGCUGAUUUUUGGGUUGAGAGGUGCCACUGUGUGCUAGGAUAUCCUAAAACCCGGGAGAAUUUAAUCCCUGCUCAAAAGAAGGGCAGGCACAGUGAGGUGCACAGGACUGUGCAGCUUCGCUGGAUCAGGAAGAGGCAGCAGAGCUGGAAAUGCAGGGUCAGAGCAGUUCAGGCCCAUAUUCAGAGGGGCUCCAGUCCUAGUCCUUGUUGAAAUUAGUCUUUGCAUGGAUACGUAUAAAUAAAUCCAGGACACUGCUUGCGUAACAAUAACAUUUUGCAGUAUCUGGCAUUUGCCGCUAGUUGAAGGCUAAGCAAACCAUGCUUCAGUGGAGCAUAAAAUUGCUUUUCCUUUGGAACAAGCAGGGCAUUGUAGUAAUAGGCAAAACUGUACAUUGUGUUAACGGCUGUAUUUUCACAUUAUUGAUUUACAUUGUGUAAUGCCAUGCAA